GACCGCCCCCAGCCUGGCGCCGCUGCCGCCCGCCUCAGCCCAACAUGGCGAUGCACAACAAGGCGGCGCCGCCGCAGAUCCCGGACACCCGGCGGGAGCUGGCAGAGCUCGUGAAGCGGAAGCAGGAGCUGGCGGAAACACUGGCAAACUUAGAGAGACAGAUCUAUGCUUUUGAAGGAAGCUACCUGGAAGACACUCAGAUGUAUGGCAAUAUUAUUCGUGGCUGGGAUCGGUAUCUGACCAACCAAAAAAACUCCAAUAGCAAAAACGAUCGAAGGAACCGGAAGUUUAAGGAAGCGGAGCGGCUCUUCAGUAAAUCCUCAGUUACUUCAGCAGCUGCAGUAAGUGCAUUGGCUGGAGUUCAGGACCAGCUCAUUGAGAAGAGGGAACCAGGAAGUGGGACGGAAAGUGAUACUUCUCCUGACUUCCACAAUCAGGAAAAUGAGCCCAGCCAGGAGGACCCUGAGGAUCUGGAUGGAUCUGUGCAGGGAGUGAAACCUCAGAAGGCUGCUUCUUCUACUUCCUCAGGGAGUCAUCACAGCAGCCAUAAAAAACGGAAGAAUAAAAACCGGCACAGGUAUGUAUAUUAGGUUAGGCUGGGAAGUUUUUUUUAAAAACAGAAAAACGUGAUGGAGGAUUGAUCUGAAGUUAAACAAAAAACCACGCGCUGACUAUUAGAAGACUCAUUAGUGCAGAAGCUUCCAGGCUGCAGAGCCCUGCUUCCCUCCUCCGACCUCACAAAGAUAAACAUCCCUUACCUGAGUGGUGGCCAUCCAUCUCUGCUUGCCCAGACCCAGUGCCUGUGACUCUGAGUAGUUUGUUCGGAAACGUGGUGACAAACAAGUCAUUUCUGUAAGACCACAUCGGAUCAUUCACUUUGUGUCAUUUUUAGUAACAGAACUGCAGGAAGACCCAAGACAUGGUUAUAGUCCCAGCAAGCUGCUAACUGUGCAUUUCUCCCUUCUUGGAAUGAACGUCUCCCCCCAGACUGGCUGGCACCAGCUUCAUCUGUGAUACGCGUCGGAAAAUGUUCUCUGGGUUUGUUUUUAUGCUGAAAGUAGGACACAGGUCACAUUUCAGAGGGAGGCUGUAAAUAUCUGGUGUUUUCUUAUUUUGUUUGUGUUUUAUCAUUUUUCUGUUGUUGUUUUUACCAUCUUAUUUUCUUUGGGGACUUUUCAUAAUGCCGUUGUACAGCUCAUACCUUCCUGCUUACAUAUCUGAUCAUCUGUUUUGUGCAGUUGCCAAUAUUCUGAACUGAAAAUAAUCUGGUUUACCAUAAAUAAAAUGGGGACUUGGCUUUUGGGGGGGUUUUUUGCAGGGGGAAGGUAAAGAGUGUUUAUUUAAGAAUUACCUAUCUUAAAUCUGAGUUGGAAGCAGUUUCAUGUUCAAGGAACAGGAAAAGCUGAAAAAUGGGUUUAAAUCAGUCCUUUUAAAAUAGAUAUUUUUAUUCUUUUGUAUAAAUAAAAUUUCACAGGCUUUGACUUCUCAUGCUUUACUUUUAAAUCGGAAGUUAUUUUCUCACUUAUUUAUUCAUAUCAUGCCUUAUGGAAAUUUCUCUUUUUCCAUCUCUUCUCUCUUUGCUGAUAUUUGCCUGAUUAAAUAAUUGUUCUAAAAACCACUAAGGCAAAUGGAAAGGCUCCAUACUGUACCCAAAGCUGAUAACAUCCGGAGCUCUUGAGCCGAGUGAAUGCAUGAUCACCGAGAGGCUGUGACGCCCAGCGGAUGCCCCGUCCUUUCGGGGUGGAUGGGCUGAGGAACCUGCUGACGGCUAUUACCCGCCUCUGAAACGACCCACCUCAGCUGCACGUCGGCAUCACAUGGGAUGCCUAAAAAGUACUGAUGCCUGGGUCCCACCUGCCAAGACUCUGACGCAGGUGCAAUCUAGCACUGGGGGGAGUCUUUCAAAGAGUCCCUGGGAUUCUGAUAAGAAGCCAAGUUGAGAACCGAUGCAUCAGAAGACUGGAUGGUUCGAUUUCAGUUCUCCGUCCUGAAUCAGUUUAAGGGAUGCAAUGUGGGGCCUCACCUUUCCUUUGACUCUAUUUAGUCAUAGUCCCUUACUUAUGUCCAUGUCUCUGUUAGAAAAAAAGAUGUUCCAUUUGUGAUAAUAUCAGUAGGACUGAACCAAGGAUUGCGUCUGUGAUCAAAACACGUCUACUCUGUCAGAUGUGCAAAAGCUUUCACUCUUGUUCUCAAAUAAACGUUUUUUGUUUUU